rnacentral:rRNA from 1 species
UACGUAGGGUGCGAGCGUUAAUCGGAAUUACUGGGCGUAAAGCGUGCGUAGGCGGUUUGCCGUGUCCUGUGUGAAAGCCCCGGGCUCAACCUGGGAACUGCAUUUGUGACUGCAUGGCUGGAGUGCGGCAGAGGGGGAUGGAAUUCCGCGUGUAGCAGUGAAAUGCGUAGAUAUGCGGAGGAACACCGAUGGCGAAGGCAAUCCCCUGGGCCUGCACUGACGCUCAUGCACGAAAGCGUGGGGAGCAAACAGG